rnacentral:tRNA from 1 species
GCAGUGGUAGUUCAGCGGUAGAAUGGUCACCUUCUAUGUGGGAAACCCAGCUUCGACUCCCUGCCAUUGCA